CUUUCCCUCUGGCGGCAUGCUUUACACAUGCAAGUCGAACGGUAACAGGCCUUCGGGUGCUGCCGAGUGGCGAACGGGUGAGUAAUGCAUCGGAACGUGCCCAGAGGUGGGGGAUAACGCAGCGAAAGCUGUGCUAAUACCGCAUGUGAUCUGAGGAUGACAGCGGGGGACCCAGCAGCAAUGUUUGGCCUCGCGCCUCUGGAGCGGCCGAUGUCAGAUUAGGUAGUUGGUGGGGUAAAGGCCUACCAAGCCGACGAUCUGUAGCUGGUCUGAGAGGACGACCAGCCACACUGGGACUGAGACACGGCCCAGACUCCUACGGGAGGCAGCAGUGGGGAAUUUUGGACAAUGGGCGCAAGCCUGAUCCAGCAAUGCCGCGUGCGGGAAGAAGGCCUUCGGGUUGUAAACCGCUUUUGUACGGAACGAAAAGGCUCUGGCUAAUACCUGGGGCUGAUGACGGUACCGUAAGAAUAAGCACCGGCUAACUACGUG
rnacentral:rRNA from 1 species